AUGACCUAACACCUCCUUGUCAACCAGGUGUCUCUGGCUGCUGCAGCUUGGGAAAAUUAGCAAACACCUUGGGCAUGGGCUGGAAACGGAAGCGUGAUUGUCAGUGCCUGGUCACUGGAGUGCCACCUUGGAGGCUGGCUUAGGCACAAGAGCAGCUCUCAGCCUGCCCCAGCACCCAAACAUCCUAUAAAAGGACAAAAUAGGAUUAUGCAAGGCAGAUCAAUCAAUAGUACAACUCCUGUAUUGAAGGAGAUCCCCGUGACUGAUUCUCAGCUGAAAUGACUGCGUGGCUCCAGCUCAGGAAAAGCACUGACAUUCCUGUCUCCCAGACUGCUCCCACCCAUUAUCUAACUGACUGGAAAGGGAGGAGAGUUGAUACUGAUUUCCUGGCUGGGCAAUCACUGAUAUAAAGAUCAAUUAUUCCCUGUAUGGAUAAGGAUAUCUCAGCUUCCCUCAGAUCCCAGACAGGAAAGCUGUUGAACAGUCAGUAAGGGGUGAAGAUCCUCAUCCACCAGAAGUACCCAGACUAUGUUUGAAGUCUUCUCUCUUUAUUUAAACUGCCUGGCACCACUGAGAUGCCUGAGGUGCUUUCUGUGGGUGAAAAACAAUAGUAUCUAAUACAGGGAAUGAAGCAACAAGAUGCUCUGAUUCCUGUGAUGGCCUUGGCUGGAGCUUGGAAGCUGAUUUCUGGAAUUUUCCCAUAGGGAAAAUGGACACCAAAGAUGGUUCCACUUCAGAUCUUUCUGGGCCAAGGCACAGAAUGACUGGAGCAAAUCCGAGAGCAGGGACCACGUGGCAGAAGCACCUUAAUGGGGACCUGAUCCAUCAUCCUCUGAUAAAGGACCUGGUCACACCUACAAGGCUCUAAAAUGCUCCUGCUGGGAAGUUUUUGGAGCUGAAGUGUCAGGGUCCAGGCAAGAUUAGUGCUGCAGAAAAAAAACUGCACAAGGAGUUAAACCCCUUCCAAACUGUGCAGGCACUGAGCAGAAUAUUAGGGACAACAGACUUGGACAUGAGCAUCCAAACGUAUUUUGGUGGACAAGACAAUCAAGUUCAUUAUUGGGUCUAACCCUGAGUAUUUUUCAUGCUGUUUCUUUUGCCAGGCCUUGGAGUCAUGUGCUGGAAAUACUCUCCUGGAGAUGAACUGCUAAUCCACAUUUAUACUGGGUAAUAAAACUGUAAA